rnacentral:piRNA from 1 species
UGGGUGAGCCCCUGGUAAAGCGGGAGC